AACGAACGCUGGCGGCAUGCCUAACACAUGCAAGUCGAACGUGAUCCAGGCUUCGGCCUGGUGAAAGUGGCAGACGGGUGAGUAACGCGUGGGAACCUGCCCUGUGGUAGGGAAUAACCGUGGGAAACUGCGGCUAAUACCCUAUGAGUCCUUCGGGAGAAAGAUUUAUCGCCAUAGGAGGGGCCCGCGUCGGAUUAGGUAGUUGGUGGGGUAACGGCCUACCAAGCCUUCGAUCCGUAGCUGGUCUGAGAGGAUGAUCAGCCACACUGGGACUGAGAUACGGCCCAGACUCCUACGGGAGGCAGCAGUGGGGAAUAUUGGACAAUGGGGGCAACCCUGAUCCAGCAAUGCCGCGUGGAUGAUGAAGGCCUUCGGGUUGUAAAGUCCUUUCGGCGGGGAAGAUGAUGACGGUACCCGCAGAAGAAGGCCC
rnacentral:rRNA from 1 species